rnacentral:rRNA from 1 species
GGACUACAAGGGUAUCUAAUCCUGUUUGCUCCCCACGCUUUCGCGUCUCAGCGUCAGUAUCCGUCCAGAUGGCCGCCUUCGCCACUGGUGUUCUUCCCGAUAUCUACGAAUUUCACCUCUACACCGGGAGUUCCGCCAUCCUCUCCGGUACUCAAGCAAGGUAGUUUCGGGCGCACUUCCUCGGUUAAGCCGAGGGAUUUCACACCCGACAUGCCCUGCCGCCUACACGCGCUUUACGCCCAAUAAUUCCGAACAACGCUUGCACCCUCUGUAUUACCGCGGCUGCUGGCAC